CAGCCUAAGAUUCUUCUUUGGAAUCAUUUUGAAGUUUGUGUUUUAAGAACAGUAUCCCUAAGGGACUGGAGUUCCAUGGAGAAUACUCUGGAUCACUCUGGCAUCAGAAUUAGAUACGAAGCUCUGGAAUCGGACACACCACCCAGUCACUUCACCUCUCUGAGCCCUGGGCUUUCACUGAUACCUUAAGAAGAACAACUCCUACUGGAAAUUGCUAGUUCAUGUAAAGAAUAUAGCUUAUUAUAAGCACCAAAAAUGCUUACAUAUCAAAUCAACAUUAAUUAGAGGAGCAGCAUCCACAAAUACAGCCACUGUAAUUUCUCAGCAUAAAGUACAAAGCCUAGAAAACCUAAGCAGUAUGUCACCAAAGAUUUCUAUGAAGCAGCAGAAAAAAUUUGAACUAUCUUAGAUUAAAAUAUAAGGCUUACUUUGG